rnacentral:rRNA from 1 species
UACGUAGGGGGCUAGCGUUGUCCGGAUUUAUUGGGCGUAAAGAGCGUGUAGGCGGCCAGGUAGGUCUGCUGUGAAAACUCGAGGCUCAACCUCGAGACGUCGGCGGAAACCAUCUGGCUAGAGUCCGGAAGAGGAGAGUGGAAUUCCUGGUGUAGCGGUGAAAUGCGCAGAUAUCAGGAAUAACACCCGUGGCGAAGGCGGCUCUCUGGGACGGUACUGACGCUGAGACGCGAAAGCGUGGGGAGCGAACAGG